rnacentral:rRNA from 1 species
UGAACGCUGGCGGCGUGCCUAAUACAUGCAAGUCGAGCGAACAGACGAGGAGCUUGCUCCUCUGACGUUAGCGGCGGACGGGUGAGUAACACGUGGAUAACCUACCUAUAAGACUGGGAUAACUUCGGGAAACCGGAGCUAAUACCGGAUAAUAUAUUGAACCGCAUGGUUCAAUAGUGAAAGACGGUUUUGCUGUCACUUAUAGAUGGAUCCGCGCCGCAUUAGCUAGUUGGUAAGGUAACGGCUUACCAAGGCAACGAUGCGUAGCCGACCUGAGAGGGUGAUCGGCCACACUGGAACUGAGACACGGUCCAGACUCCUACGGGAGGCAGCAGUAGGGAAUCUUCCGCAAUGGGCGAAAGCCUGACGGAGCAACGCCGCGUGAGUGAUGAAGGUCUUCGGAUCGUAAAACUCUGUUAUUAGGGAGGAACAAAUGUGUAAGUAACUAUGCACGUCUUGACGGUACCUAAUCAGAAAGCCACGGCUAACUACGUG